AGAGAGAGAGAGAGAGAGCUUAAUUGACUAAAAAGCCCCCACCAACCCCACUUGAGAACGUAAUAAUAACUUUUGGUGGUAAAUUUGGUAAAUUCAAGAUGCCAUCUGUCAACCUCAGAACCUUGAAAGUAAGACCCGCAGUUCACUAAUUGUUGAAUAAUAAUGAAUGUCCAAUAAUUAUAGAUAUGAUCCUUGGCAAUAUGGGAAGAAGGAAACGUCAGAGACGGAGAAAAAUCGAAACAUGAUUAAUUAUAAUGGAGUAGUUAGCUUUGGAAUUUCAUGGAGUUAAGGCCACCAAAUACUGGCCUACCGGUGAUUAUUAUAACCAAAAUGACACCCUGUAGGCUAUAAACCAAUAUGAGUCACUUUGCUCGUAGAUAAUUUAUUUUUGCCAGAACCUGACAGGGUGGUGGUGGUGGUGGCUAAUUCAGGCACGUUAUAGCGGCAGACCACUUAAUCAAUCAAAGAUUAAUUAAGCUUAUUUUAAUCG
rnacentral:misc_RNA from 1 species